rnacentral:rRNA from 1 species
GAUAAACGCUAGCGGCAGGCCUAACACAUGCAAGUCGAGCGGUAACAUGAGAUAGCAAUAUUUUGAUGACGAGCGGCGGACGGGUGAGUAACGCGUAUGCAACCUGCCCACCACACGGAGAUAGCCGACCGAAAGGACGAUUAAACUCCGAUGGCAUUGGGAACCGGCAUCGGUAUCCAAUUAAAUAUUCAUAGGUGGUGGAUGGGCAUGCGUGGCAUUAGUUAGUUGGCGGGGCAACGGCCCACCAAGACGAUGAUGCCUAUGGGUUCUAAAAGGAAGAUCCCACACAUCGGUACUGAGACACGGACCGAACUCC